UACGUAGGGGGCUAGCGUUGUCCGGAAUCAUUGGGCGUAAAGCGCGUGUAGGCGGUUCGGUAAGUCCGCUGUGAAAGUCGGGGGCUCAACCCUCGAAAGCCGGUGGAUACUGUCGGGCUAGAGUACGGAAGAGGCGAGUGGAAUUCCUGGUGUAGCGGUGAAAUGCGCAGAUAUCAGGAAGAACACCUAUGGCGAAGGCAGCUCUCUGGGACGGUACUGACGCUGAGACGCGAAAGCGUGGGGAGCGAACAGG
rnacentral:rRNA from 1 species